rnacentral:tRNA from 2 species
GGCACUUUGGCCGAGUGGUUAAGGCGCCGUCUUCAGGUUCGAUCAGAUCCUGGCGGUCCGAAAGGGCGUGGGUUCGAAUCCCACAGGUGUCA